rnacentral:rRNA from 1 species
GAUGAACGCUGGCGGCGUGCUUUCACAUGCAAGUCGAACGAACCUUCGGGUUAGUGGCGGACGGGUGAGUAACGCGUGAGAAUCUGCCCUCAGGAGGGGGACAACAGCUGGAAACGGCUGCUAAUACCCCAUAUGCCGCGAGGUGAAAUGAAUUUCGCCUGAGGAUGAGCUCGCGUCUGAUUAGCUAGUUGGUGUAGGUAAUGGCUCACCAAGGCAUCGAUCAGUAGCUGGUCUGAGAGGAUGAUCAGCCACACUGGGACUGAGACACGGCCCAGACUCCUACGGGAGGCAGCAGUGGGGAAUUUUCCGCAAUGGGCGAAAGCCUGACGGAGCAACGCCGCGUGAGGGAUGAAGGCCUCUGGGCUGUAAACCUCUUUUAUCAAGGAAGAAGAUCUGACGGUACUUGAUGAAUAAGCCACGGCUAAUUCCGUG